rnacentral:siRNA from 1 species
GAAAAAUGGGUUUCUGCGAAAAG